rnacentral:tRNA from 1 species
GGAGAGGUACCGAAGUGGUCAUAACGGGGCGGUCUUGAAAACCGUUAGAGUGCAAGCUCACAUGGGUUCGAAUCCCAUCCUCUCCGCCA